GUGAAUCAUCGAAUCUUUGAACGCAAAUUGCACUCUCUGGUAUUCCGGAGAGUAUGCCUGUUUGAGGGUCAGUUUAAAUAAAAAUCGGUGUGGUUGCUGCCUUUCGUGGUGACGCACCGGAUUUGGGUCGUCUUGCCUUCGGUUAAGUGACCUAAAAUUUUGCAUGAUUUUUUCAGAACGUAUUAAAUUGUUUUUAUGUACGUUUGCGUAUAGAAAUUCU
rnacentral:misc_RNA from 1 species